rnacentral:rRNA from 1 species
AGCUCACGUAAGAGUUUGAUCCUGGCUCAGGAUGAACGCUAGCGGCAGGCCUAAUACAUGCAAGUCGAGGGGCAGCACGGCAGCAAUGCUGGUGGCGACCGGCGGACGGGUGCGUAACGCGUAUGGAACUUGUCCGGAUCUCUGGAAUAGCCCCCGGAAACGGGGAGUUAAUGCCGGAUGGCGCGUUUGUGUGGCAUCACAUGAACGCUAAAGCUCAGGCGGAUCCGGGUGGCCAUGCGUUCGAUUAGCUAGUUGGCGGGGUAACGGCCCACCAAGGCGACGAUCGAUAGGGGUCCUGAGAGGGAGGUCCCCCACACUGGUACUGAGACACGGGCCAGACUCCUACGGGAGGCAGCAGUAGGGAAUAUUGGGCAAUGGGGGCAACCCUGACCCAGCCAUGCCGCGUGCAGGAGGAAGG